GCAACGCGGAAAUCUGCAUUUACCGUGAAGUUGAUAAAAAUUAGCGAUACACUUUGUUCCUCUCAAGCGCCUGAACCCGUGACACAACCUUCAUGCAUCUCGUGAUCUGAGCGCAGGCAAAGCAUGAGACAAUGUUCCCCAACCUGAUGCCUUCCUGACAGGAUGAACUACAGCUCCUACCAUCCACAUUGACCAAGCUGGCUGAGCACGGGAAGAUGAUCAUAGUCCUUUUGCCAGCUCUGGCAAGAAGCCAUUUCUCAACUGCCUGAUUCUCCUUGUUAUGAUUCCCCAAUGUUUUUCCUUGGCACUCGCCUCCUGGGAUUGGAAAACAAUUCAUAUUUUUUUCCCCUUUAUAUCUCCCUCCAAGGUAAUUUCUAU